UUGUGUUCCCAGUCAAAUCCUGUCUUGCCCUCAGCAGAAAAUUUGAGCUCUUCUCCAACACCCUCCAUCCAUGAUGAGCCUGUGUCCUGAAGUCAAGCCUCUGAAGACAUCAACCCCUGUCCUGCGGAGUCCUGAAGUCAAGCAACUAAAGUCAUCAACCCCUGUCUUGUCGUGUCCUGAAGUCAAGCCUCUGAAGACAUCAACCCCUGUCCUGUCCUGAAGUCAAGCCACUGAAGACAUCAACCCCUGUCCUGUCCUGAAGUCAAGCCACUGAAGACAUCAAUCCCUGUCGUGUCCUGAUGUCAAGCCUCCGAAGACAUCAACCCCUGUCCUGUCGUUUCCUGAUCUCUUCCCAACACAGUCCAAACACUGAUGUUUGGAUAAAUACCAUAUCAAUUCCUGUCCUGCCCUCAGCGGAAGAGUUGAGCUCUUCUCCAACACCCUCCAUCCAUGACGAGCCUGUCUUGCACGGCUACUUCCUGACCUUGUCCCAUCCCCCAUUUUUUAACUCAUGUGAUCCCUCCCCUCUCAACACCGAGCCUGUCAGAAUUGAGUGCCUAUCUCUCUCCCAGCACUCGUACUGGUCAGACACCAAAGGAUAUCCUGUACCCCGCAGCAGCGUCCAUGGUCAACUUGGACAGUCUGUUCAUACAGUACCACCUGGUAAAACCUGAUCCCCCAACAUCUGUCCAUGCAUUACCACCUGGUAAAACCUGAUCCCCCAACAUCUGUCCAUGCAUUACCACCUGGUAAAACCUGAUCCCCAACAUCUGUCCAUGCAUUACCAACUGCUAAAACCUGAUCCCCCAACAUCUGUCCAUGCAUUACCACCUGGUAAAACCUGAUCCCUCAACAUCUGUCCAUGCAUUACCAACUGCUAAAGCCUGAUCCCCCAACAUCUGUCCAUGCAUUACCACCUGCUAAAACCUGAUCCCCCAACAUCUGUCUAUACAUUACCACCUGCUAAAACCUGAUCCACAACAUCUGUCCAUACAGUACCACCUGCUAAAAUCUGAUCCCCCAACAUCUGUCCAUGCAUUACCACCUGCUAAAACCUGAUCCCCCAACAUCUGUCCAUGCAUUACCACCUGCUAAACUUGAUCCCCCAACAUCUGUCCAUACAUUACCACCUGCUAAAACCUGAUCCCCCAACAUCUGUCCAUACAUUACCACCUGCUAAAACCUGAUCCCCCAACAUCUGUCCAUUCAUUACCACCUGCUAAAACCUGAUCCCCCAACAUCUGUCCAUACAGUACAACAUGCUAACUUGUGAAAAAUAAAGACUCAUUGUACCUUG